rnacentral:rRNA from 1 species
AACGAACGCUGGCGGCAGGCCUAACACAUGCAAGUCGAGCGCGCCCUUCGGGGUGAGCGGCGGACGGGUGAGUAACGCGUGGGAACGUGCCCUUUUCUACGGAAUAGCCUCGGGAAACUGAGAUUAAUACCGUAUACGCCCUUUGGGGGAAAGAUUUCUCGGAAAAGGAUCGGCCCGCGUUGGAUUAGGUAGUUGGUUGGGUAAUGGCCUACCAAGCCGACGAUCCAGAGCUGGUUUGAGAGGAUGAUCAGCCACACUGGGACUGAGACACGGCCCAGACUCGUACGGGAGGCAGCAGUGGGGAAUAUUAGACAAUGGGGGCAAACGUGAUCUAGCCAUGCCGCGUGAGAGAUGAAGGGCUUAGGGUUGUAAAGCUCUUUCAGCUGGGAAGAGAAUGACGGUACCAGCAGAAGAAGCCCCGGCUAACUACGUG